GGAAAGUGCGGCUGGAUCACCUCCUUUCUAAGAGAAAGAUAAAUUAAGGCUAAUUCCAUUAACUCUUCCCUGCUCUUUUCUUUUUGUAAAAGAGUUUUUAAAACCAAGAUUGUUUUUAUAGGCUUGAGAACAGUUUGUAUAUUUAUUUUUUAGGAAUAUUAAAGAAUUUCGUUAAGCCCAAGCUUGAGUUUAGAUUGAUUGGGGGUUUAGCUCAGUUGGCUAGAGCAUCGGCUUUGCAAGCCGAGGGUCAAGGGUUCGAGUCCCUUAACCUCCAUUACGCAUAUAGAUUAAGCAUGUUGUUAAGCAAGUUUAUUAAAGGUUAAAAUAAUUAUUGGAAUAGGAGAUAGGGAAAAGUUAAGAAAGGUUAGAAGGCAAACAAAAUAAUAAGCAAAGCGUAUUAAUUCUUUUAAAUAAGAACAAGAAUUACGAAGGGUUUGGCUCUGGCCCAGAACUAACCCUAUUGGUUUGUCUUAAACAUGCAAGUCAAGCGGGAUAUAGUAAUAUAUUUGGUGGCUAACAAGCAAUUAGCGUGUGAAUGAUUUACCUAUGAGAUGGGAACAACCACUAGAAAUAGUAUAUAGGUUUAUGUAUAAAUGUCAUAGCUCAAUUAUAGAUCUAUGUUGUCAAUUAUAUAUCUAGGGCUUGAUAGAGGAAGUUAGAAUUUCUGAUGUAAGGGUGGCAUCUGUUGAUAUUAAGAAGGAUGUCAGAGACGAAGGCGAACUUUUGGGGCAAGGCUGAUACUGAGUCACGAAAGCGUAGGGAGCAAAUAGGAUUAGAUAUCCCAUCACUCUGUGCUGUAAAUGAUGAAAACUUAGUUUUAACUAAAAGUUGACACUAGGACUAACGUGUUAAGUAUAUCUCUUGAGGGGGAGAUUCUUUUAAUCGUGAAUCUCAAAGGAAUUGACUGGGGCCUGCAUAAGCGGUGGAGCAUGUAUUUAAAUUCGACGAUAUGCGGUGAACCUUGCCGGGGUUUGGUAUGUAUAGGAUGUGGUUAGAGAUAAUUAUUCCCCGCUUGGUAGUUAUAUAUAAUUGCUAUAUGGUUAUUGUCGGUUUUGAUUAUGAGGUGUUGAGCCAGCCCUAGCGAGGAGUUCAAUCUUCAUUUUUUAUUAUCGAUGCAUAAUGGUAUAGCCCUAGAUAAGACUGCAAGCGAUAAGUCAGCGGAAGAUGAGAAGGUCUAAAGUCAUUGUUCUAAUCUAUAAGAGAGUAAGGUAUUUGAGGUAUGUUUAGUGUGGGGUUAAAGGCUCAGUAAGGCAGCUGUAUUAUAAAAUAUGGUUGUUUUUAAGAUAAAGAUAAAUUAAGAUGAAUUUCAUUAAUUCUUCUCUGUAUUUUUAUUUUGAUGAAAAUUUUUUUAAGUCAAAGUAAAUUUUUAGUUUAAACUUUAGAAAAAAUAAAUCUUUGGUAAGUAUUUAGUGUUAUAUAGUUUAGUAUUGAAUUAGGCGUUGUUAAUAGUAGAUCAUAAUUUUAAUUUUGAAGUGAAAAGCUUUUAUAUUGCUAGAUGUGCAUUUUAAAUCUAAUAUAACGGCAAUUGGCCAUUUUAAAAUUGAGAUUAUAUUCUAAAUAUUACUUAAUAUUUACCAAAUUUUUUAUUGUUUUGAUUAAUUGGCUUAAAGGAAUACCGAAGUGAUUAUAAUAAUGGAACACAUUGGGACCAGGAUGAGUUGAAC
rnacentral:tRNA from 1 species